GAGCCGUUCGAGACUAGGACGUUGAUAGGUUGGGUGUGGAAGCGCAGUGAUGUGUGAAGCUAACCAAUACUAAUUGCUCGUGAGGCUUGACUAUACAACACCUAAAACGUU
rnacentral:rRNA from 1 species